UCCAACCUGUAAAUCAGAAAUUGGUAACGGCAGAAUAGAAGGAGAUGCAGUUGUGUUUAGGGAGUUGAACGAGAGGACAGACCGGAAGGAAUUGAAGAAAUCGAAGAGGAGGACAGAUGAUUAGCCGAGUAUAUGGUUAGGGUGUCAAGUAAAGCUCGGCUCGAGCUCAGGGCUCGGUAAGUAUAAAAAAAUAUUAUAUUUAGAGAGAAUAGAGAAUUAGAGAUGUAGCAAGAUGGUAAAGGUUUAUUUAGUAUGUACGUGAGAGAUUAUGAAUUUGAUCUUCC
rnacentral:lncRNA from 1 species